rnacentral:misc_RNA from 1 species
CAGAGUUGCAAAACUCCCACAAACCAUCGCGAAUCUUACCCGUACGAUUGCCUCGGCGCUGGCGGUCCGGAAGGCCCUCGGGCCCCCCGGAUCCUCGGGUCUCCCGCUCGCGGGAGGCUGCCCGCCGGAGUGCCGAAACCAAACUCUUGAUAUUUUAUGUCUCUCUGAGUAAACUUUUAAAUAAGUCA